AGGAAGCAUCGACUAUUCACUCUCUUCCUCCCUUCGACCCACAGCGGUAGAGCGGUGGCCGAUUUCUCCAUCCACCGGCAGCUUUUCCCUCACUCUCUUUUCCUUCUCUUUCUAUAGCUUUCUUCGUCCCUCCUUUUGCUUCUUCUUCUUCCUCUCCGCCAUCUCCUUCGUUCCCAUUCUCUGUUUUCGUCAUCACUGCUGCAACCAAAGCAGCGGUGGCGAAACUAAGCAAUGGCAUCUGCUUCCCUUAGCGAUACACCUUUCUCCCCAAUUUCCUUCUCCCUUUGUUCGAUUUCUGGCUGUUUUCUUCCAUUCUCUCCCGCUGUUGUUGUCCCUAUUCGGUUCGUUCAUUGUCACCCUUCUCUGCAAAAGGAUCAUUAGUCAUCGACGGCGUCUCUCUCUACUACCGGAAUCAGUGAAGACUUUACCACCUUCAGCAUUGUCUCUUACUUUUCCAUCAAUCUCGGGUGACUUCUGCACUCUUUUUAGCAUUCAGUAGGAGACCACGACUUCCUCUGUUCUGCGAAGCAUAUCAAAUUCUUCUAGAGUUCCUGAUUGCAGCCUCUAGAAAUCAACAGCCAGGACAUCCCUCAGGUAAUCCACACCGAACUCUCUCUCAAUUCACCUUGACAGUGAGGGUUCCAGGCUGGGGAUCAGACCGAUGAAGUAGUUCCACUGGACUCUUCUCCCGCAGAGAUCAAGUACAGCUUUGCAACUGUCGAACGGGGUUAGUACAAAUAUCUCCUUUAGGCUCAGCUUAUGUAUCAGUAAACCAGCCACCCACUCCAGUCCAAAACAGAGCCAUGGAUCGGAAAACAAUUCUACUUUGGGUGAAAAUCAUCUUCAUACCUCUUAUGAUGCUUUGCCAGCAAACCCUGAAACCCAACAACUUGGAUUAGGAGCAUCUCACGUACGUGAAACAAGUCAAGAGAGGGAAGGAGCAUCUUAUGCACAUCAAACAAGUCGAGAAAAUGGGAGGGGGAAUGUGAAGGGGAAGAAGAAAGUUCUUUUUAGAUGAUGUAUCUUUAUUUUUUUUUUUUUUGGUUUUGAACAUAAAACUAUCAAAUAUUUUGUUGUAAAAAAGAUUGUGUUGGGCUUAAAGAUUAUUGAAAAUUUAAUAUUUAAGUUUA